GAUGAACGCUAGCUACAGGCUUAACACAUGCAAGUCGAGGGGCAGCAUUAGGUAGCAAUACUGAGAUGGCGACCGGCGCACGGGUGCGUAACGCGUAUCCAACCUUCCCGUUACUCUCGGAUAGCCUUCCGAAAGGGAGAUUAAUACGAGACGGUGUUGAAAUUCCGCAUGUUAUUUCAACUAAAGAUUCAUCGGUAACGGAUGGGGAUGCGUGACAUUAGGUAGAUGGCGGGGUAACGCCCACAUGCCUACGAUGUCUAGGGGUUCUGAGAGGAAGGUCCCCCACACUGGAACUGAGACACGGUCCAGACUCCUACGGGAGGCAGCAGUGAGGAAUAUUGGUCAAUGGUCGGAAGACUGAACCAGCCAAGUAGCGUGAAGGAUGAAAGGUUCUAUGGAUUGUAAAACUUCUUUUAUACGGGAAUAAAACCACCUACGUGUAGGUGCUUGUAUGUACCGUAUGAAUAAGCAUCGGCUAACUCCGUGCCAGCAGCCG
rnacentral:rRNA from 1 species